ACCCAAACUCGCGGGUACCUGUGGAUUACCCACAAAUUUGCGGGUAUGGGUACUAGCUUUUUCAACUCAAAAAAUUACGGAUAAAACGGAUGGGUAUCCAUUAAACAGUGGAUAUUUUGAGUAACCCGAGGGUACCCGCACAUAUAUUUUUUAAUUACAAAAUAUAUUUUCUUAAUUAAUAUAUAUUUUUUUAUUUAUCCAUUCUAAAAACUCUAAUCUUAAUUUUUUAUUGCGUGUCUUUUAUAUUACAAAAUAUUUUUGCCUUAAGACUUUGAAUAUUUUUAUUGUAUGUUAUGAUAUUUUAAACAAUGAGUUAUAUUACGUUUUUAAAACUUAUAUAUAUAUGUGU
rnacentral:lncRNA from 1 species